AGGCAGUGCGCUGUAAGCUGG
rnacentral:miRNA from 1 species